rnacentral:rRNA from 1 species
UUCCGUAGGGUGACCUGCGGAGGGAUCAUUACUGAGUGAGGGCCUUCGGGCUCGACCUCCAACCCUUUGUGAACACAACUUGUUGCUUCGGGGGCGACCCUGCCGUUUCGACGGCGAGCGCCCCCGGAGGCCUUCAAACACUGCAUCUUUGCGUCGGAGUUUAAGUAAAUUAAACAAAACUUUCAACAACGGAUCUCUUGGUUCUGGCAUCGAUGAAGAACGCAGCGAAAUGCGAUAAGUAAUGUGAAUUGCAGAAUUCAGUGAAUCAUCGAAUCUUUGAACGCACAUUGCGCCCCUUGGUAUUCCGAGGGGCAUGCCUGUUCGAGCGUCAUUUCACCACUCAAGCCUCGCUUGGUAUUGGGCGCCGCGGUGUUCCGCGCGCCUCAAAGUCUCCGGCUGAGCUGUCCGUCUCUAAGCGUUGUGAUUUCAUUAAUCGCUUCGGAGCGCGGGCGGUCGCGGCCGUUAAAUCUUUCACAAGGUUGACCUCGGAUCAGGUAGGGAUACCCGCUGAACUUAAGCAUAACAAUAGCGGAGGAA